ensembl:lincRNA
CAAAAAGUUGUGAAUUUCCCUGAGAUUGUGCUGUAAUUUAUUAUGAACAACAAUACAAUAGACAUUGUAAUGUGAUAUGGUAUUGUAAUAUGAUAUAUCUACAAUAGAUCCUAAACAAAACUCUAGCUUAGAAAUAAAGCCAAAAGAGGAUUCUGGUUUCUUUAUUUAAUUAGGGCAAAACAAGCAUGUGAUGCAAUAACCUAAUUAGGUUUUAGUUGUCUUGUGCUCUGUAUAUCUAUGUGCAUAAUUAUGUGUAUCUUGAAAGUAUUUGUUACCUGGACCUUAAAUAUAUUACUAAAAGUUUCAAAUAUUAGCCUUAGAUUUGAUUUGCUUAGAAUGACACAAGUGUAAGUAAAUGAUGACAACAUAUUGAUUUUUUUUUGGCAAAUCUUAGCUUUAAAGUUGUUUUACUAAAGUCUACUAAUGAUUAGUACUAGAAUAAGUCAAAGGAUGUCUACUGCUGCUUCCUGCUUGUGGUUUCAAACACAUGCGAGUGAGCGAGAAAAGCCAUAGCGAGAAUAGACAAUUCACAUGUGAGUACUGAUGUUAUAUAAUGAUAUUAGAUAAAGGAAUAGUUCACCCAAUAUUGUUAUAUCAGUAUUUAUUUUUCCAACUAUAUGUCAGUAUUUACAGGUUUUCAACAAUCAGACUGGUUUGAAACAAGUCAAGGGUGAGCAAAUGAUGGAAGAAUUUUCAUUUAUAGGUAAACUAUCCCUUUAAGUGUUUUGUGAAUAGUGCUGACUCUGUAUGAUCCAAUAUUUACAAUGUUAUUCACUUGUAAUUAAAGCAUCUAAUAUUAAAUUUAUUUUUCCUUGAUUCAGAUUGUGUUUAUCAUUUCAUCAAAGAUUCACAAUUAUUUCUCUUCCAAUUUCUCAGUUGUUUUGUUGAUUGUCGCUGAAGGCUCAUCAGUAAUGGUUCACCUAGGAGGAAACACAACACUCCCCUGCAGUAUUAACGAUGAUAAAGAGAUUAACUGGAUUAUUACUGAUGGAAACCAAACAUUUAUCCGAAUUAUGAGUGUUGAAAAUAAUUAUGGACCAGAGUUUAAAUUAGAACCCAGUAAUAUUCACCCACAUUACUUUGGACGUAUCAGAUCUGUCAGUUCAUCCACAAACACUCACUCUCUGCUUCUGCUCAACAUCACUGAAGAUGAUCUCCUGCUCUUCUGCUGCACUGAAUAUACUCUGCAACAAACUCACUGCACUAAACUGGACUAUAAACAAGUAAGCACUGAAGAUGCAGAUUUUGUCAGUCCUGAUGCAGUGCUCAUCUGCCCAUGGCUUCCUGCCAUGUGUGUGCUUCUGAUGCUGUUACUGCUGUCAACUGUCUGUGUGUGUUGGAGAGCAGCAGAAAUGCAGAAAGGUUGUGGAACAACUCAUGACCUCAGUCACCAGGAAUGGAUGCUCAAAAAUGUUCAGGUCAGAAUCUCUUUUAUAUUUGUCAUCUCCUUAGUAGUUUGCACUUACUUUCAUUGUAUUUUUUUCACGAUUUAUAGAGAAAAAAAGGCCAAGAAGUAUGGACUGAAGUUCUUUAUACAUAGAAAUAAUUCCUACUAUUCCUAUAUCUUUUUUAGCACCUGUUUUUUUUUUCUUUACUUGAUACGCAUUGUAAACUUCAAUGUCUCUAUGUAUGUAAGUAUGUAUGUAUGUUUUAAAAAAACUGUAUGUCCC